AUUGAACGCUGGCGGCAUGCCUUACACAUGCAAGUCGAACGGUAGCGGGCCUUCGGGUGCCGACGAGUGGCGAACGGGUGAGUAAUGUAUCGGAACGUACCUUUCAGUGGGGGAUAACGUAGCGAAAGUUACGCUAAUACCGCAUAUUCUGUGCGCAGGAAAGCAGGGGACCUUCGGGCCUUGCGCUGAUUGAACGGCCGAUAUCAGAUUAGCUAGUUGGUGAGGUAAAGGCUCACCAAGGCAACGAUCUGUAGCGGGUCUGAGAGGAUGAUCCGCCACACUGGAACUGAGACACGGUCCAGACUCCUCCGGGAGGCAGCAGUGGGGAAUUUUGGACAAUGGGGGCAACCCUGAUCCAGCCAUGCCGCGUGAGUGAAGAAGGCCUUCGGGUUGUAAAGCUCUUUCGGCCGGGAAGAAAUCGUAUCAGCUAAUACCUGGUGCGGAUGACGGUACCGGCAUAAGAAGCACCGGCUAACUACGUGCCAGCAGCCGCAGUAAUAC
rnacentral:rRNA from 1 species